rnacentral:rRNA from 1 species
CAGUAGCCGCGGUAAUACGUAGGGUGCGAGCGUUAAUCGGAAUUACUGGGCGUAAAGCGUGCGCAGGCGGUGAUGUAAGACAGUUGUGAAAUCCCCGGGCUCAACCUGGGAACUGCAUCUGUGACUGCAUCGCCGGAGUGCGGCAGAGGGGGAUGGAAUUCCGCGUGUAGCAGUGAAAUGCGUAGAUAUGCGGAGGAACACCGAUGGCGAAGGCAAUCCCCUGGGCCUGCACUGACGCUCAUGCACGAAAGCGUGGGGAGCAAACAGGAUUAGAUACCCCGGUAGUCCCUGUCUCUUAUAC